CCCCUCUCCUCACGCACACCGAAACAAUGGUCUCUUCCCUCUUAGGCAGUUCCAGACUUUUUCCCGGACUCCCUCCUGGCUAGCUGUGGUGCACUAGCCCCCUUCAGGCUGUGUUCAUGCAGCCAACCCCAGUUGUCUCCCUGGGAUCUGACCUCCGAAGCCGGAGCCUCAGCUCCCAGCCCCCACCCACCCCGGCGGGUGAGCAGACAAGCCUCUCAGGCUGGAUUGGCAGAGCCGUGCUGAGGACCAUGGCACACGGACUCCUACUGGCGCCAUCCCAGCCCUGGGAGCUAUAGCAUGAUGUAUACCCAGGGGUGGAAUUGCUGGGUCAUUCAUAUGGAGUCCAUUGACAUUUAAAGUGAUUCAUAGGCACAGAGCUAAUCCCAGGGCAAAGCAAUACCAUUAGCCCUGUGACCAACCUUGUUCUUCAUCUCACAGUUGCC